rnacentral:rRNA from 1 species
AGAGUUUGAUCAUGGCUCAGGACGAACGCUGGCGGCGUGCCUAAUACAUGCAAGUCGAGCGAACCGACGAAGUGCUUGCACUUCUGACGUUAGCGGCGGACGGGUGAGUAACACGUAAGGAACCUACCGAUAAGCGGGGGACAACAUCCGGAAACGGGUGCUAAUACCGCAUAGGAAAGGUCACCACAUGGUGACCUUUGGAAAGACGGCUUUGCUGUCACUUAUCGAUGGCCUUGCGGUGCAUUAGCUCGUUGGUGGGGUAACGGCCUACCAAGGCAAUGAUGCAUAGCCGACCUGAGAGGGUAAUCGGCCACAUUGGGACUGAGACACGGCCCAAACUCCUACGGGAGGCAGCAGUAGGGAAUCUUCCGCAAUGGGCGCAAGCCUGACGGAGCAACGCCGCGUGAGUGAAGAAGGUUUUCGGAUCGUAAAGCUCUGUUGUAAGAGAAGAACAAAUUGGAGAGUAACUGCUCCAGUCUUGACGGUAUCUUACCAGAAAGCCACGGCUAACUACGUGCCAGCAGCCGCGGUAAUACGUAGGUGGCAAGCGUUGUCCGGAUUUAUUGGGCGUAAAGGGGGCGCAGGCGGUUUCUUAAGUCUGAUGUGAAAGCCCACGGCUUAACCGUGGAAGUGCAUUGGAAACUGGGGAACUUGAGUACAGAAGAGGAAAGUGGAACUCCAUGUGUAGCGGUGGAAUGCGUAGAUAUAUGGAAGAACACCAGUGGCGAAGGCGACUUUCUGGUCUGUCACUGACGCUGAGGCCCGAAAGCGUGGGUAGCAAACAGGAUUAGAUACCCUGGUAGUCCACGCCGUAAACGAUGAGUGCUAGGUGUUGGAGGGUUUCCACCCUUCAGUGCCGGAGUUAACGCAUUAAGCACUCCGCCUGGGGAGUACGGCCGCAAGGCUGAAACUCAAAUGGAAUUGACGG